rnacentral:lncRNA from 1 species
CCGGAGUGAUCCGGCUGCGGGCCAGGGUCUGGGAAGGGGGUGGUGGGUCGCCGUUUCAUCAGAAGCCGGAGGACGGGCGCCAGGGGGCAACUUCCUACAGGAGGGCGUCCCGUUAGAAUGACAGGGCUUUUGCAAAAGUCUGACACCCGUGGCACAGAGCGCCCCAGAUAUGGAGGGUUUCACAGGCUCAUGUGUGGCUUCUUCAGUCCUCUCUUCAUUCACUCAUGUAUUCAUUUAUUCAACGACAUAUUACUAAGGAACCUCCUUAAGCCGGGAUGCUGAACGUGGAAAAAUAGGUGAAAUAUAAUUUUACCCCUGAGAAGCUCAUAGGCUAAAAAAAAUAUUGAUUUGGGAUAAAUGUAUGUUAAGUUGACUCUUGAACAAUGUGGGGGCUUGGGGCACCAACCCCCUGUGCAGUUGAAAAUCGACAUAUAACUUUGACUCGCCAAAAACUUCACUACAAUAGCCUGCUGCCAACCUGAAGUCUUACCAAUAACAUCAACAGUCAAUUAAACAUAUUACUAGGCUGAAAAGGAGAAGGAAGUGAAGGGGUUGGUCUUGCCGUCUCACGAGUGGCAGAGGCAGGAGAAAAUCCAAAUAGUAUAGAUGUUCUUCAGGCUGGAUGCAUAUUGCCAGAUUUGAAUACUAACCUUUUAGGAAGCAGGACAGGCAGAAGGAUGCCUUCUUCCACGCAAGCACUGAACCAAACCACAGUAGAAGAAACAGAAUCAAAUGAGAGAGAUUCAACUGACCAGUUUAAGGCUUAUCAGAAAGGAACAAAGACAUACCAAAAUAGACCAUCCUUGCACAAACACAGACACACAGGGACAAGGCACAAGUGCAUCACUUACACCAGCACAGGUGCUAGCAAGAAACCCAUUCAUAUGAACACUUUAUGCGGAUUUUAAAGGGAAAACUCUUCUUUUAAACAUAAAGGACUUUUAUCUUUGUAGUAUCCACAUUUAUUCACUCAUUCAUUUGAUGCAAUUUAUGUGCCAGAUGCUUGGUCAGGACUGAGGAUGUGUAGUGGACAAGCCAGGAUUGCUGCAGUGAUGUGCUCACCAUUGGAGAGAGGAAUGACUGUCAACAAAUCACUACAGGCCCAUAUGUUAAGUUCUUUAAUAGUACGGUGACUGGAACUACGGGACGGAACCCAAAAUGCAGUCACCCAAACGCAUCAUGUCCAUUUUGAUCCCUACAGCAAUUAAGCCUUGCUUUCACAGCCGCUGAAGCAGACCAACAGAUGGUUGUUUAAUUGUUUAUAAAACCAAACAUUAACUACUGGGCUUGGCAACGUAUCUCUUCUCCUGAAGCCUCUCAAAGCAGAUAUCAGACAACACUCUGGAAGAUGCUGAGAAACAUCAAAAGAUCAAAGGUCGAAUCUUGGAAUUCAGAUCUGUCAUUGACCUGCCUUAUAACUUCUGUCAAACUGCAAUGUGGUGAGAUUGUUCACAUGUUUCACAGCAGUGUUGCAUGGAAUGACUAAUGGCCUUCAGUUGGUUCCUGUGUAGAUGGUAAAAUGGAAAGCUGUUCACAAAACCCCUUUCUAGCAAAGAUGCGUCUCUGCCAAGUCACAUAUGUUGGCCAGAGGUGUGUUUAGGGAACUUGGCCCUCUUCAGAAAAAUACAGUCUCCUUGUUCCUGGCCAGAUUUUAAUGUUGCUCUACCUUUUAGCUUAUGAAGCUUCAGGCUGUCUGUACAAAUGCUGUCUGUUUUAAUAGAGUGCUAAUUGCAGUAACGGGCAGGGCACUUAUGUCUGUAAUCAUCACAUCAACGCCACUUGGCUUAAUCCUUGAAAAUGGACAACAAGCUAUUACUAAACCAUAAAAAUCACAAAUUGUGCGUGCUGACCUAGAGACACCUCCAAUCAAUGAGAAGCAGCCUGAGAGCCACCAAAGGCUCUUCAAUGUCCAGCUGUCACCGACAUUCCCCAAGAACUUCAAAGAUUUUAAAGGCCACCAUUUCCAUGCACGUGUCUCUUGGCGUUGCUGCUGUUUACACUAUGUGGAAGCUGGACACUCAGCCUGUUUCGGGGGGACCCAGGCUAAAGGUUCUGCCCUAGGUGUGCAGCCUCUUCCUUAUCCUCCUGGGUUCAGCUUCAACGUCACAUGCCCAGACUUUCAGCCUCCAGGACUUAUACCAGCACCCACUCUCCCUCCUGAUUCCCAGGCCUUCAGCCUUAGACUGGGAGUUAUAGGAUUGGCUCUCCUAGUAAAGGGUAAGAUAGAUGUAUUCUUUUAUAUAUAAUAUAUAACACAAUGGCUCUCUG